rnacentral:rRNA from 1 species
AGUGAACGCUGGCGGUAGGCCUAACACAUGCAAGUCGAACGGCAGCACAGUAAGAGCUUGCUCUUACGGGUGGCGAGUGGCGGACGGGUGAGGAAUACAUCGGAAUCUACUUUUUCGUGGGGGAUAACGUAGGGAAACUUACGCUAAUACCGCAUACGACCUACGGGUGAAAGCAGGGGAUCUUCGUACCUUGCGCGAUUGAAUGAGCCGAUGUCGGAUUAGCUAGUUGGCGGGGUAAAGGCCCACCAAGGCGACGAUCCGUAGCUGGUCUGAGAGGAUGAUCAGCCACACUGGAACUGAGACACGGUCCAGACUCCUACGGGAGGCAGCAGUGGGGAAUAUUGGACAAUGGGCGCAAGCCUGAUCCAGCCAUACCGCGUGGGUGAAGAAGGCCUUCGGGUUGUAAAACCCUUUUGUUGGGAAAGAAAAGCAGCAGGUUAAUACCCCGCUGUUCUGACGGUACCCAAAGAAUAAGCACCGGCUAACUUCGUG